rnacentral:rRNA from 1 species
UACGUAGGGUGCAAGCGUUAAUCGGAAUUACUGGGCGUAAAGCGUGCGCAGGCGGCUUUGCAAGACAGAUGUGAAACCCCGGGCUCAACCCUGGGAACUGCAUUUGUGACUGCAUGGCUAGAGUGCGGCAGAGGGGAUGGAAUUCCGCGGUGUAGCAGUGAAAUGCGUAGAUAUGCGGAGGAACACCGAUGGCGAAGGCAGCCCCCUGGGCCAACACGUGACGCUCAGGCACGAAA